AGCGACUUUAUCACGUUGAAACACCGAUUCCCAUACGAGCUCUGAAGUUAAGCAGCGUCGAGUCUGUUUAGUAGUUGUAUGGGUGACAGCUUUGGAAGAC